AGCGGAUAUUUAAGGGCGCAGUGGAGCUACAGCUGCCAUACAAGUCAAAGCGGAAAAGGACUCAACUGAGCCGACAGUUCUGUUGAACAAUGGAGAACCAACACAGACCAAGAACACAUCAAAGACAAGAUCCUGGACACAGACAUGACAGUGGGACACUUCUUCAUGAAAGAGUGAGAGAUGGUGGCGGUGGCAGAAGAGGAGGUGGAGGAGGAUUGGGUGAUGGAGACAGAAGAGGAUUUGCAGGGGG